GGGUUGUGAGGUUAAGCGACUAAGCGUACACGGUGGAUGCCCUGGCAGUCAGAGGCGAUGAAGGACGUGCUAAUCUGCGAUAAGCGUCGGUAAGGUGAUAUGAACCGUUAUAACCGGCGAUUUCCGAAUGGGGAAACCCAGUGUGAUUCGUCACACUAUCAUUAACUGAAUCCAUAGGUUAAUGAGGCGAACCGGGGGAACUGAAACAUCUAAGUACCCCGAGGAAAAGAAAUCAACCGAGAUUCCCCCAGUAGCGGCGAGCGAACGGGGAGCAGCCCAGAGCCUGAAUCAGUGUGUGUGUUAGUGGAAGCGUCUGGAAAGGCGCGCGAUACAGGGUGACAGCCCCGUACACAAAAAUGCACAUGCUGUGAGCUCGAUGAGUAGGGCGGGACACGUGGUAUCCUGUCUGAAUAUGGGGGGACCAUCCUCCAAGGCUAAAUACUCCUGACUGACCGAUAGUGAACCAGUACCGUGAGGGAAAGGCGAAAAGAACCCCGGCGAGGGGAGUGAAAAAGAACCUGAAACCGUGUACGUACAAGCAGUGGGAGCACGCUUAGGCGUGUGACUGCGUACCUUUUGUAUAAUGGGUCAGCGACUUAUAUUCUGUAGCAAGGUUAACCGAAUAGGGGAGCCGAAGGGAAACCGAGUCUUAACUGGGCGUUAAGUUGCAGGGUAUAGACCCGAAACCCGGUGAUCUAGCCAUGGGCAGGUUGAAGGUUGGGUAACACUAACUGGAGGACCGAACCGACUAAUGUUGAAAAAUUAGCGGAUGACUUGUGGCUGGGGGUGAAAGGCCAAUCAAACCGGGAGAUAGCUGGUUCUCCCCGAAAGCUAUUUAGGUAGCGCCUCGUGAAUUCAUCUCCGGGGGUAGAGCACUGUUUCGGCAAGGGGGUCAUCCCGACUUACCAACCCGAUGCAAACUGCGAAUACCGGAGAAUGUUAUCACGGGAGACACACGGCGGGUGCUAACGUCCGUCGUGAAGAGGGAAACAACCCAGACCGCCAGCUAAGGUCCCAAAGUCAUGGUUAAGUGGGAAACGAUGUGGGAAGGCCCAGACAGCCAGGAUGUUGGCUUAGAAGCAGCCAUCAUUUAAAGAAAGCGUAAUAGCUCACUGGUCGAGUCGGCCUGCGCGGAAGAUGUAACGGGGCUAAACCAUGCACCGAAGCUGCGGCAGCGACACUAUGUGUUGUUGGGUAGGGGAGCGUUCUGUAAGCCUGUGAAGGUGUACUGUGAGGUAUGCUGGAGGUAUCAGAAGUGCGAAUGCUGACAUAAGUAACGAUAAAGCGGGUGAAAAGCCCGCUCGCCGGAAGACCAAGGGUUCCUGUCCAACGUUAAUCGGGGCAGGGUGAGUCGACCCCUAAGGCGAGGCCGAAAGGCGUAGUCGAUGGGAAACAGGUUAAUAUUCCUGUACUUGGUGUUACUGCGAAGGGGGGACGGAGAAGGCUAUGUUGGCCGGGCGACGGUUGUCCCGGUUUAAGCGUGUAGGCUGGUUUUCCAGGCAAAUCCGGAAAAUCAAGGCUGAGGCGUGAUGACGAGGCACUACGGUGCUGAAGCAACAAAUGCCCUGCUUCCAGGAAAAGCCUCUAAGCAUCAGGUAACAUCAAAUCGUACCCCAAACCGACACAGGUGGUCAGGUAGAGAAUACCAAGGCGCUUGAGAGAACUCGGGUGAAGGAACUAGGCAAAAUGGUGCCGUAACUUCGGGAGAAGGCACGCUGAUAUGUAGGUGAAGUCCCUCGCGGAUGGAGCUGAAAUCAGUCGAAGAUACCAGCUGGCUGCAACUGUUUAUUAAAAACACAGCACUGUGCAAACACGAAAGUGGACGUAUACGGUGUGACGCCUGCCCGGUGCCGGAAGGUUAAUUGAUGGGGUCAGCGCAAGCGAAGCUCUUGAUCGAAGCCCCGGUAAACGGCGGCCGUAACUAUAACGGUCCUAAGGUAGCGAAAUUCCUUGUCGGGUAAGUUCCGACCUGCACGAAUGGCGUAAUGAUGGCCAGGCUGUCUCCACCCGAGACUCAGUGAAAUUGAACUCGCUGUGAAGAUGCAGUGUACCCGCGGCAAGACGGAAAGACCCCGUGAACCUUUACUAUAGCUUGACACUGAACAUUGAGCCUUGAUGUGUAGGAUAGGUGGGAGGCUUUGAAGUGUGGACGCCAGUCUGCAUGGAGCCGACCUUGAAAUACCACCCUUUAAUGUUUGAUGUUCUAACGUUGACCCGUGAUCCGGGUUGCGGACAGUGUCUGGUGGGUAGUUUGACUGGGGCGGUCUCCUCCUAAAGAGUAACGGAGGAGCACGAAGGUUGGCUAAUCCUGGUCGGACAUCAGGAGGUUAGUGCAAUGGCAUAAGCCAGCUUGACUGCGAGCGUGACGGCGCGAGCAGGUGCGAAAGCAGGUCAUAGUGAUCCGGUGGUUCUGAAUGGAAGGGCCAUCGCUCAACGGAUAAAAGGUACUCCGGGGAUAACAGGCUGAUACCGCCCAAGAGUUCAUAUCGACGGCGGUGUUUGGCACCUCGAUGUCGGCUCAUCACAUCCUGGGGCUGAAGUAGGUCCCAAGGGUAUGGCUGUUCGCCAUUUAAAGUGGUACGCGAGCUGGGUUUAGAACGUCGUGAGACAGUUCGGUCCCUAUCUGCCGUGGGCGCUGGAGAACUGAGGGGGGCUGCUCCUAGUACGAGAGGACCGGAGUGGACGCAUCACUGGUGUUCGGGUUGUCAUGCCAAUGGCACUGCCCGGUAGCUAAAUGCGGAAGAGAUAAGUGCUGAAAGCAUCUAAGCACGAAACUUGCCCCGAGAUGAGUUCUCCCUGACUCCUUGAGAGUCCUGAAGGAACGUUGAAGACGACGACGUUGAUAGGCCGGGUGUGUAAGCGCAGCGAUGCGUUGAGCUAACCGGUACUAAUGAACCGUGAGGCUUAACCUUACAACGCCGAAGGUGUUU
rnacentral:rRNA from 1 species